AUCCCAUGAUGUGGGCACUUCCAUAGUACUUCCUUAAACCUCUCCCACGUAUCGUAUAAAGUCUCUGACUCCAACUGGUAGAAGAAAGAGAUAUCAUUCCUCAUCUU